rnacentral:rRNA from 1 species
GGCCAGACUCCUACGGGAGGCAGCAGUGGGGAAUAUUGGGCAAUGGGCGCAAGCCUGACCCAGCAACGCCGCGUGAAGGAAGAAGGCUUUCGGGUUGUAAACUUCUUUUAAGAGGGAAGAGCAGAAGACGGUACCUCUUGAAUAAGCCACGGCUAACUACGUGCCAGCAGCCGCGGUAAUACGUAGGUGGCAAGCGUUGUCCGGAUUUACUGGGUGUAAAGGGCGUGUAGCCGGGCUGACAAGUCAGAUGUGAAAUCCGGGGGCUCAACCCCCGAACUGCAUUUGAAACUGUUGGUCUUGAGUAUCGGAGAGGCAGGCGGAAUUCCUAGUGUAGCGGUGAAAUGCGUAGAUAUUAGGAGGAACACCGGCGGCGAAGGCGGCCUGCUGGACCGUAACUGACGUUGAGGCUCGAAAGCGUGGGGAGCAAACAGGAUUAGAUACCCGUGUA